GUGGGGAAUCUUCCGCAAUGGACGAAAGUCUGACGGAGCAACGCCGCGUCAGUGAAGAAGGUUUUCGGAUCGUAAAGCUCUUUCGUUAGGGACGAACGUGCUCUUUGUGAAUAAUGAGGAGUAAUGACGGUACCUAAAUAAGAAGCCACGGCUAACUACGUGCCAGCAGCCGCGGUAAUACGUAGGUGGCAAGCGUUGUCCGGAAUUAUUGGGCGUAAAGCGCGCGCAGGCGGGAUAUCAAGUCUGUCUUAAAAGUGCGAGGCUCAACCUCGUGAGGGGACAGAAACUGGUAUUCUUGAGUGUCGGAGAGGAAAGUGGAAUUCCAAGUGUAGCGGUGAAAUGCGUAGAGAUUUGGAAGAACACCAGUGGCGAAGGCGACUUUCUGGACGAUGUCUGACGCUGAGGCGCGAAAGCUAGGGGAGCGAACGGGAUUAGAUACCCCUGUAGUCC
rnacentral:rRNA from 1 species